AGGGACCAGUGGACAACUUCUACCUGAAUUAGCAUCAUAUGGAGGACAUAUUUGAGUACUGCCGCUGACUUCUUAAAUCCUUUCCUAUUCUCAGAUAAGUAUCUGUGUUUUUAAAGAAAGUCAUUGAGCAUCUUGGCACAUGCUUCCCAACUGGGACUCAUUACCCUCUUCUGAAGGAGUGAACAUACUAAAAAAGCUUUGGAGGAUGAAAAGGAGGAAUGGAUGCAUGGAUGGAAAAUAGAGAACUUUUACUUCAAUGAAACUAUCAACGUGUAAUACUGCAAUGGUGGCUACCUAACAUUAUGUAUUUUUCAAAACCCAAAGAACUAUACAACGCAAAGGAUGAACCCUAAUGCUAAGGAAGCUGUUUAGCAGCCAAAGAGGGAAAUUUCCUCCAAAGAAGAUAUUGGAAAAGGAAGGACUUCCCAGAAGGUGAAGUCAAGAGUUAUGAAGAAUAAUAGCCUAUGAAGUUACUUCCAGGAAACAAAACAGAAGACUGACUAAACAAUGUUUCCUAAACUUCCGGUUAGUGGACCUUAUAAUAGUUUCUUACGGGAUUUCAAAACUGCUGUGGACCAGUGAUUGCUAGGUUCUCCCCUUUUUCCUCUUUCUAAAUGAGUGUUUAUUGUGUUAACACACUUUUAUUAUGGAUGUGUAGGUGUAUAUUUCAUCACAGUUGGUUACAAUAACAAUUCUUUUGGUUCAUAGGCCUUUGGUUCAGUAGAGCUGCUUUUGUGCAUGAUAUAAGCUCAAGAUCCUGGGUUUCAAGCUAGAUGUUUUGAUUAGAUCACACUUGGAGUAUCUUUAGGAUGGGGUGAUCACAUUUUGUUUAUGGGAAGGAAAUGAGCAUUUGUGAACUAGAGCCGGAUGUGAAAAUUUACAUUAUUUUACACAUAUUUAUUCCCUCUGUGCAUGAAGGGGGAGUGCUUCCUGGGCCCCACAGUGGAGUCCUGUCUAGCACUUGGAAAUGAAUUGUCUGAUGAGACAUACCUACUAACAAAAGACUUUAUUGGGAGGGGCACUGAGGCAGAAAGAAGUAGGGUAAGGGAACCCAAGAGAACUGCUCUACCAAGUGGCUCGCAGUCUCAGUUUUUAUGGUGGUGGAGUUAGUUUCCAGGUUGUCUGUAGCCAACCAUCCUGUUUGUGCACAUAUUUGGUCCAACUCAGGCUCUUCCUGGUGGCACACAUCUCUCAGUCAAGAUGGAUUCCACUGUGAGGACUUUUGGGAAUUUGACAGGACAUAUUAUGGGCUAGCAUUUCCUCCCUCGUUUGGCCACUCCUGAAUUCUCCCAGUUAGUUUUCAGCAGUAGCACUAUGUUCAUUAUUGAGACCUCCUGUUGUGAGAUAAUUCAUGCAAGUGGUUAUUAUCAUGCCUGGCCAAGGCAAGUGUUUUUGGUCAUUGCUUCCCUAACCUCCAUUUUCUUGCCAUGCUUUUCUUUUUUUUUUUUUUUUGUCUUUUGUCUUUGUUGUUGUUGUUGUUGUUGCUAUUUCUUGGGCCGCUCCAGCGGCAUAUGGAGGUUCCCAGGCUAGGGGUUGAAUCGGAGCUGUACCCACGGGCCUACGCAAGAGCCACAGCAACGCGGGAUCCGAGCCGCGUCUGCAACCUACACCACAGCUCACGGCAACACCGGAUCGUUAACCCACUGAGCAAGGGCAGGGACCGAACCCGCAACCUCAUGGUUCCUAGUCGGAUUCGUUAACCACUGCGCCACAACGGGAACUCCUUGUCAUGCUUUUCUGAGAGCACAGCCUAAUUCCCUUUCCACUGACCUUGGCCUAGGUCUUAUUACUUUUUCAGCUAAUAGGAUGUCUAAGUAGUUUUAAAUGUGCUUACAUAUUGUGCAUGGCUUGGUACUCAAUCUUAUUUUUCCCAAAAAAUGAGAAUAGCAUAUCAAAGAUACUAGCUUACUCCUUUAACCUGGGCUAUGGAAUGAAAAAAUACUUACUAUGGAGUCAAGGUCUAACUCAACCAAACUCAACCUGUCAGGGCCUGAACCCUCAUGAAUUUGGGCAAGUAAUACAUUUUUGUUUUUAUAACCCACAGAUAUCGGGUUAUAUCAAAAACUGGCUAACACAAGAUUUGAAUGAAUUUGUUGUUAGAAAUAAAGAAGGAAGAAUUAUAUUGUCUAUAAAAAUGCUUAGUUUAUAUAAGCCAUAUAGGGGUCUAAAUGUACAUAAAUAAAUGAACUCAAUCAGAAUUAUUUGUAGGUAGAAUUAAUAGAGAUACUAUUUGAGUUUAUUGGUCAUUUGGCUACUUGGACAGUAGUUUUUAGGUCAAAGUGACUCUAGAUUCAGAGGCUUACAGGGUAUUUUGAUAGGCUUUUCAGAAAUCUUCAAAAAAACUAAUCAAGACAUAUGUAUAGACACAAAAAAUUAAAAGAAAUUUCAGUACGUAACUAGAAAAUGAGUCAAUGUUUCCAAGGAUGUUGAUACUUAGAGAAGAUCCGGCAGAUUUACAAAAGGGUAUGACAGUGUUGAAUGCUUGAGACAUCAGUUGUUUAAUGUUAAUGUUUAACAUUGGUUGUGUAAAUGCCAACCUGAGUAAUAAGAUUUUGUACCUGGAAUGUAACUCAAUGAUAAUCUUGUUUGUCCCUUGAAUUUUCAUCAUCCUAUAGUAGAAAGUACUUUUUAGAUAUUAAGAAAGAUAAAGGAGUUUUACUUAGAAAUAUGUUUUCAUUGGUCUAUGGGUCACUGAGAAAAUAACUGAAUUGAUGAUGUUGUGGCAAAACCCCAGGGAAUUAUAAAUUGAAAAGUUAAUUAGAAGCUCCACAUGAAGAAGGAAUUAUCUAAAUAGGCUUUUUAAGAUCUACUCCCGUAUUAAGAUCUACUACUACAGGGCUAACUAAUACCUUUAUUCAUCUUUUCUUUUUUUUUUUUUUUUUUUUUUUUUUGUCUUUUUGUCUUUUUGCCAUUUCUUGGGCCACUCCAGAGGCAUAUAGAGGUUCCCAGGCUAGUGAUUCCCAGAGCCACAGCAACUUAUGAUCCAAACCGAGUCUACAACCUACACCAGAGCUCACGGCAACGCCGGAUCCUUAACCCACUGAGCAAGGCCAGGGAUCAAACCCACAACCUCAUGGUUCCUAGUCGGAUUUGUUAACCACUACGCCACAAAGAGAACUCCACCUUUAUUCAUCUUUUUAAGUAUUCUUGCAAUUGGGAGAGUCAGCACCAUCAGUGUAAUUUUUAAAUUCUAGAAAGACAUUUUCGCAAGAACUGGUACCAUCUCAUGGACUGCUAGUUUUGCGAACUUUUGGCGUUUUUGUUUGUUUGUUUGGUUUUUUUGGCCACGCUCUGAACUUAUGGAAGUUCCCGGGUCUAGGAUCAAACCUGUGCCACAGCAGUGCUCCAAGCUGCUGCAGUGACAAUCUUAGAUCCUUAACCCACUGCACCACAAGAGAACUCCUGUCUUGAAAUCUUUGAACAACUAGCUCCUACCAAGACAUUUCACACAUAGAGGGUGUAAAUAAUUAUUUGUAGAAUCAACAAUAGAAUGAGUAGAGGUUUUAUUUAGCAGUGUUUUAAGUGAUAAGAACAGAACAUCAGUGCAAUAUAAACUCAGUUUUUAAAUAUAUGUUAACAGUCACAACUGUUCUUCUUGAAGAAAAUCAAUGUAUUGAAUUAUUCAUGAAUCACAUUCAUUGAAUAAGCAUUUCAAAUUUUUUAUUGAAGUGUAGAUUCACAAUGUUGUGUUAGUUUCUGGUGUAUAGCAAAGUGAUUCAGUUAUUAUAUAUAUGUGUGUGUGUGUAUAGUUUUCAUAUUCUUUUCCACUAUAGUUUAUUAUAAGAUAUUAAAUGUAGUUCCCUGUGCUCUACAGUAGGACUUUGUUAUUUAUCUAUUUCAUAUUUAUGGUAGUUUGUAUCUGCUUAUCUCAAACACCUAAUUUAUCCCUCCCCCCUCUUUACCCUUUGGUAACCAUAAGUUUGUUUUCUCUGUCUGAGUCUGUUACAGGUGUAUAAAUAAGUUCAUUUGU
rnacentral:lncRNA from 1 species